GGGGAUGUAGCUCAGCUGGGAGAGCGCUGCCUUUGCAAGGCAGAAGUCACGGGUUCGAGUCCCGUCAUCUCCACCU
rnacentral:tRNA from 1 species